CCCGUCUCUACUAGAAAUACAAAAUUAGCUGGGCGUGGUGGCACAUGCCUGUAAUCCCAGCUACUCGGGAAGCUGAGGCAGGAGAAUCGCUUGAACCUGGGAGGCAGAGGUUGUGGUGAGCCAAGAUCGCGCCACUGCACUCCAGCCUGGGCGACAAAAGCAAAACUCCGUCUCAAAAAAAAAAAAAAAAAGCAACUGUUAACAAAAUGUAAGUGUCUUUCCCUUUAAAGGUACCCAAUUUUUAUUAUUUUGACUUUAGAUGUAUUUUAAUGGAGUUGCAGGAAUUCUAAGAUAAACAGCUUCCUACAAGGGGCAAAACUCAAAGUAGUUCCAAUUUUACUUAAAAACAACAACAACAACAACGACAACAAGCGGCCGGGCACGACGGCUCAUGCUUGUAAUCCCAGCACUUCAGAAGGCCGAGGCGAGCGGAUCACCUGACGUCAGGAGUUCAAGACCAGCCUAGCCAACAUGGUGAAACCCCGUCUCUACGAAAAACUACAAAAAGUAGCAGGGCAUGACGGCGGGUGCCUGUAAUCCCAGCUACUCGGGAGGCUGAGGUGGGAGAAUCACUUGAUCCUGGGAGGCGGUGGUUGCAGUGGGCGGAGAUCACGCCAUUGCAAUCCAGCCUGGGCGACUGAGCGAGACACCAUCUCAAAAAAAAAAAAAAAAAAAAAAAACAAGCAAACAAAAACUGAAUAAAUGCUAGAGUUAGAUUAGAAACCAAGAGUUGUGGCAUGUGGACUUAUUUUACUCUCUCAACAAAUCCUGCAGCCACCUGGAACUUCCUUCAGUUUCUCCUUCAAGUUGUAAUACUGCGACUGGUCACUGUCAAUUCUGAAGCCUCUACCUUCCAUAGGAGCUAGAUGAAAACCGUUAAAAAUGCUUUUUUGUUAACAGAAACCCAAGAUGCUACCAGCGGUUGUUAAGGCAGCAAAACAGCCAACAUGUUUAUUUCACCUUUCAAAUUGAGAUUACUUUUAGAACAAAAAAAAAGUGUCAGUGUCAAUGCGUUUACACUGAAAUCAUGUUAAUUUCAAGGGAAACAAAUAACGAAGGGUAUUAAUCCUUACAGCCAUUUUCCAACCUUGUUCUCUUUUACUUGAAUUCUCCAUCACUAAAAAUUACUCAAAACCAGGUGGAAAACUCAAGGACAAAUUCUUUAAACACGUCCAAGUGCCACAAAGCACACACUCUGCCGGAGAGACAAUUUAGAAACCAGCUUCACUGUUGUCACAGUGCUGGCCACAUGAAAUGGUUCUUUGCACCUGCAGGACGUUUUCACGGUCGUUUCGUAUUCAGCACUAAGAGAAAGCCUACGUAAGUAUUCCAAAAACCACCUUCAUUUAUUCCUUUCCUCUAAACUGAGCUCCAGGCAGAGGUGAAAUGCUGGGCCUGCUGACCUUCACACAAUGUCAGACUCCACUGACUAGCUUCAACAAGAGCUGACAGCAGUUUUCUGACCUUCAGCGGGACGCGACCCUAAGAAUCGAAAGAGAGGAACCUCACCGAUUCAGAACAGGCCUCGGAGAGCUAGCGCCCAAGCCCUGACCUUCACCCAAGAUCCCCCUUCUAGGGCCGCUGUCAGCCGAAGACAGGAAUCUUGAGGCCCUGUCUCUGGACACCAUCGAGUUAACUGUCUGCCCUGUACCAUUCUGCCUCUGCGCAGGUGACGAGCAAAAGGGCACCUGUGUCGCCUGCUCUGUCCAGCCGGAGAAGCCACGGGUGCAAGAUGGCGGCAUUCGCCACAGCCCCUCGCCCUCCUGCAGAGAGCGCCCGAGCCGGCGCACCACCACCCUGCAGCCCCACCCGGCCGCCUGCAUCAUGCCGGCCUUCGGUGCUCACCAGUCCGGCCCGCCGAGGAAGGGCGCGGACCACGGCCGCAGCAACGCGCACGGACAGCAUCUUUGCAGUUACUCCGCAGGCGGUACUUCUGCAGCCGCAGCCUCCGGACUGACUGGGACAAAAUGGCCGAGCCGCAAAGAAGGUCAAGACAGCCGGCCCACCUGACCCGGAAGUACUGCCCCUCGCGUUCACCACCUCUCCCCCCGCCCCCGCCGCCACUCUGCAUUUUUUGGCAGGUUACUUAUUUUUUUAUGUAACAUUUUUAAGUUUAAACCUCAAAAUGAAUGAUUAGAUAUA
rnacentral:lncRNA from 1 species